ACAGAGGAGAGGCUGAAGAACUCCUGCUUUGUGGAAUUCUGAUGAUUCCUGCUGUGCUGAUCCCUGUGCAGAGCUGGGUCCAUCCAUUAUCACUCCCUGGUGGUGCUCACACGGCCCUGCACUCGUGAGACACAAAGUGCUGCAGACUUUCAUCCUGGUUAUCUCCUGCCCUGGGUUUGUUUUGGUCUUUGGCAGGGUGACAGGGCAGGAGUGACAUGGAGGGGACAACAAAUCUGUUAACUGGAAAAUUACAUCAUUUGUGGAGCUGCAGCUCCCAGAGGGACAAAGUCUGGGUUUGGAGAGGCCUCCCCUCGCUGCACAGGGAGUGUGUGGAAAGAGAAAGGGGAGUGUGCAGGCAUGUGAGCCCUGCUCCUGAUCCUGCAGGCCAUCCCAGUCACCUCAUCAGAGCACAGCCACUGCUGUCCCAGCUCCUGAGCAAAGAUCUGCCCCCCUCCUGGAGUCCUGAAUCCCUGCUGAUGGAGCAGGGCUCAUGGGCAGGGCUGUGGAGAGGCUCUGCAGGGGUUUGCACAGGGCAGCUCCGAGUUGCUUUUAGUUUUGAAAGCCACACCUGGUUUGUGGGACAGAGGCAGAGGAAAUGGACUUGGAUGUGGCUUUGUGUGGGAUCUCUGUGGGAUAUUGGGAUGGGAGUGCAGAGUGCAGAGGUACCAGAGCAGUGACAGCUUCUCUGGGCAGCCUGUUCUUCUGCAGAGCUCAGCUGUGUUACAUUUCUCACAUGGAAUUUAUUUAUUACUGAGUUGUGAUCUCUUAAAAUGCUGCUGGGUUAUUCCUGUGAGCCAUCCAGGUCCCACUAACCCAACCAGAGUUGUAACUCUCCUGGAGAACAAAGUGAUCCCUCUAAAACACAUCCCUCCCCAGCUCUGAUGGGUGUGAGCUGAGGCACUGGCUGCAGCUGCCCCUGCUUGUGGUGUUUCCCUGAGCUUGCACAUUGUCCUGUGUGAAAGGUGUUUCCUCUGGCACCUGCACGCAGAACCCUGGGCAGUUUCACAGCCUUUUUUUUGCUCUUUAUGCAGUGAUUCCCUAUUGCUCAGCUUCACUCACAUCAGCUGAAACGAGAGAAGUUACCAGAGAAGCUGUGGCUGCCCUGGCAGUGUCCCAGGCCAGGCUGGACAGGGCUUCAAGCACCCUGGGGCAGUGGAAGGUGUCCCUGCUGUAGGCAGGGGUGGAUGAGCUGGUUUUUUAGGUCCCUUCUAACUCGUGGGAUUCCCAGAUUCCAUGAAAUAAUCCACGUGGGGUGCAUUGUGGCAGCUGGAUUGUCCAUCCCCAGAUUUACUGAACUCUGCCUCAACACCCAGGCCUGGAAUUGCAUUCCAGUGCUGAAGGCAGACGGGUGAGGCCCCACCUGGAUCAGAAAAGCCUCUCCAAAAGUCAGAGCCCCAGGUUUCAGCCAUGAGCCCAGCCCUGCUCCCAGGCUGUUCCCACCCUGCCCUGCCCAGGAGCUGCUCACAAACCAGCUCAGCACUUUGCACUGGUGAUGGGAAGGAAGUGAGUGCUGACUCUGAGCUCUCCCAGAGAGGUGGCAGCCUGGCUUGGCUUGAAAUUAAAGUUGGCCCACUGUUUAAUUAAGUGAAAGUUCAUUGCUAAGAGCAAAGGCACUGCUCCCUCUCUCCUGCUCAUCCCUUUUGCAGCUCAGAUUGCUGCAAGAGGAGAAUUUGGAGUGUUGGUUUAAAGGGAAGGUCCUUGCACAGACUGCAGUCCUCUGUUCCUCUGCUGAGAGGCAGCAUAAGGAAUGAGCUGGAGCUGCAUGUCUAGACACUGUAAAAAUAGCUGUAAAAAUAGCUGUCUCUUUGGGCAUAUUUGAGCUCAGGAACUGCUUUCAUUAUUAAUUCCUUGCUAAUCUGCCCCUGACACUGCUCAAACCAGUGCUGGGCACUGCAGGACACCACGAACAUUGGACACAGGAACAUUGCAGGACACAAGAAUAUUGCAGGACACAGAAAUAUUGCAAGUCACAGGAACGUUGCAGGACACAGGAACAUUGCAGGACACAGGAAUAUUGCAGGACACAGGAACAUUGCAGGACAUCAGGAAUAUUGCAGGACACAGGAAUAUUGCAAGGCUCCAGGAACAUUGCAGGACAUCAGGAACAUUGCAGGACACAGGAAUAUUGCAGGACACCAAGAACAUUGGACACAGGAAUAUUGCAGGACACAGGAAUAUUGCAGGGCUCCAGGAACAUUGCAGGACACAGGAAUAUUGCAGGACACAGGAAUAUUGCAAGGCUCCAGGAACAUUGCAGGACAUCAGGAACAUUGCAGGACACAGGAAUAUUGCAGGAAACCAAGAACAUUGGACACAGGAAUAUUGCAGGACACAGGAAUAUUGCAGGGCUCCAGGAACAUUGCAGGACACAGGAAUAUUGCAGGACACAGGAAUAUUGCAGGGCUCCAGGAACAUUGCAGGACACAGGAAUAUUGCAGGGCUCCAGGAAUAUUGCAGGGCUCCAGGAACAUUGCAGGACACAGGAACAUUGCAGGACACAGGAACAUUGCAGGACACAGGAAUAUUGCAGGACACAGGAAUAUUGCAGGACACAGGAACAUUGCAGGACAUCAGGAACUCCACUGCAGGAACAUGACAGGGCUCAAGGAAACACAAACAGCCUUCAAUCCACUGCUCAUCAGGAGUUUAUCAUGGUUGUUAUUUUUUGAAACUUCUGAAUUCAUGCCCAUGCUAUGAGAGGGUACAAACCCCUCUGGUCUAUUUGACACAACCUAAAAGAUACCUGAGAUUAUACAGCAGAAUUCAAGUGCUUUGGUUAAUUAAAAUAUAAUUAGGAUAUAUUUAUGAGUUGAAAUUCUUCCUCCUCUCAGGUACACAGUGGUUCUACAGCAAACCAAAAGAAAUAGCAGAGGACAGUGGGCACUGCUGUGCUCUUCAGGAAAGGCCACUUGUAUCACUAGAGAGUCACCAGGAGCUGGGAAUGCUCCUGUGGAACUUCUGUGCAUGGAAGAACAUCUUGCAGAGGAGCUGCUUUACUCCAUGCCCCUCACAAACAGAGAUCUUCCUAAAAGAUGAUUUCCUGCCAAAUAUGUAGAAACAGAACAGACCCAGCUGAGGGAUGAGCAGAACUGUUAAAUGCAGGAGAAAAGCUGAGUGGUUCUCUGUCAUUUAUUCUCCGUGUCACACACUGCAGUCAGGGUCCUGCCAGGGCUGCAGCUCCUCCAGUCCAGUGUCACUGUGCAGGGGAAUAUUCAAAGGGUCACAGUUGUUAAAGAGUCCUUAAUCCACUUUAAUUCUUUAUUUAAGAAAACAUGUUGCACUCCCAAGUGCUUAAUUUCAAUCUUUUCCGAAGCAAAGUAUAUGCAAGCAAACCACAUUAUUUUAUUUUCUAAUUUAACUGCGGUUUAAUUGAUAACUUCUUACACGAGUGAUAGACUGGAAUGUGUGGUGCAUCAACAUGUGGGUGAAUAGCAAAAGAGUAAAAGCAGUAAAUAAAGAAAGGAGCAAAAGAAGAGCAAGAAACACUGAACUGGAUGCAGUGUUAGGAAUAUUCUGAUUAGAAGGAAACUCCUCCUUGCUGGCAGAGGAGGAAACUUUUCUGUGACAUGCUGGGAAGAGGGAAUAAA